CCUACGGGUGGCAGCAGUGAGGAAUAUUGGUCAAUGGGCGCGAGCCUGAACCAGCCAAGUAGCGUGAAGGAUGACUGCCCUACGGGUUGUAAACUUCUUUUAUAAAGGAAUAAAGUGAGGCAUGUGUGCCUUUUUGUAUGUACUUUAUGAAUAAGGAUCGGCGAAAUCUGUGCCAGCAGCCGCGGUAACACGGAGGAUCCGAGCGUUAUCCGGAUGUAUUGGGGUUAAAGGGAGCGUAGAGGGGUUGUUAAGUCAGUUGUGAAAGUUUGCGGCUCAACCGUAAAAUUGCAAUUGAUACUGGCAGUCUAGAGUAGAGUUGAGGUAGGCGGAAUUCGUGGUGUAGCGGUGAAAUGCUUAGAUAUCACGAAGAACACCGAUUGCGAAGGCAGCUUACUAGACUGCCACUGACAUUGAUGCUCGAAAGUGUGGGUAUCAAACAGGAUUAGAUACCCCGGUAGUC
rnacentral:rRNA from 1 species